UGGGGAAUUUUGCACAAUGGGCGCAAGCCUGAUGCAGCGACGCCGCGUGAGGGAUGAAGGCCUUCGGGUUGUAAACCUUUUUCGCUCAUGGUCAAGCCGCAGCUUUGGGUUGUGGUGAGGGUAGUGGGUAAAGAAGCGCCGGCUAACUACGUGCCAGCAGCCGCGGUAAUACGUAGGGCGCGAGCGUUAUCCGGAAUUAUUGGGCGUAAAGGGCUUGUAGGCGGUUGGCCGCGUCUGCCGUGAAAUCCUCUGGCUUAACUGGGGGCGUGCGGUGGGUACGGGUUGACUUGAGUGCGGUAGGGGAGACUGGAAUUCCUGGUGUAGCGGUGGAAUGCGCAGAUAUCAGGAGGAACACCGGUGGCGAAGGCGGGUCUCUGGGCCGUUACUGACGCUGAGGAGCGAAAGCGUGGGGAGCGAACAGG
rnacentral:rRNA from 1 species